rnacentral:rRNA from 1 species
UACAGAGGGGGCAAGCGUUGUUCGGAAUUACUGGGCGUAAAGGGCACGCAGGCGGUCAUGUAAGUCUGUUCUGACAGCUCCUGGCUCAACCGGGAGAGGCGAACGGAAACUGUAUGACUUGAGGACUUCAGAGGGACACGGAAUUCCGGGUGGAGUGGUGAAAUGCGUAGAGAUCCGGAGGAAACACCAAAGGCGAAGGCAGUGUCCUGGGAAGUACCUGACGCUCAGGGUGCGAAAAGCCAGGGG